UACAGAGGGGGCCAGCGUUAUCCGGAAUUAUUGGGCGUAAAGAGCUCGUAGGCGGUUUGUCGCGUCUGCCGUGAAAGUCCGGGGCUCAACUCCGGAUCUGCGGUGGGUACGGGCAGACUAGAGUGAUGUAGGGGAGACUGGAAUUCCUGGUGUAGCGGUGAAAUGCGCAGAUAUCAGGAGGAACACCGAUGGCGAAGGCAGGUCUCUGGGCAUUAACUGACGCUGAGGAGCGAAAGCAUGGGGAGCGAACAGG
rnacentral:rRNA from 1 species